AUUGAACGCUGGUGGCAGGCUUAACACAUGCCAGUCGAACGGUAACAGGAAUUAGCUUGCUAAUUUGCUGUCGAGUGGCGGACGUGUGAGUCAUGCUUGUGAAUCUGGCUUAUGGCGGGGGAUAACUACGGGAAACUGUAGCUAAUACCGCGUAAAAUCUUCGGCUUAAAGGGUGGGACUUUCGAGCCACCUGCCAUAAGAUUAGCCCUAGUGGGAUUAGGUAGUUGGUUAGGUAAAGGCUGACCAAGGCGACGAUCUCUAGCUGGUCUGAGAGGAUGACCAGCCACACUGGAACUGAGACACGGUCCAGACUCCUACGGGAGGCAGCAGUGGGGAAUAUUGCGCAAUGGGGGGAAGCCUGAUGCAGCCAUGCCGCGUGAAUGAAGAAGGCCUUCGGGUUGUAAAGUUCUUUCGGUGGCGAGGAAGGUUGAUAGGUUAAUAGCCUAUCAAAUUGACGUUAAUCACAGAAGAAGCACCGGCUAACUCCGUG
rnacentral:rRNA from 1 species